rnacentral:rRNA from 1 species
UACGAAGGGGGCUAGCGUUGCUCGGAUUGACUGGGCGUAAAGCGCGUGUAGGCGGUUCAGUAAGUCUGCUGUGAAAGUCCAGGGCUCAACCCUGGGAUGCCGGUGGAUACUGCUGGGCUAGAGUGCGGAAGAGGCGAGUGGAAUUCCCGGUGUAGCGGUGAAAUGCGCAGAUAUCGGGAGGAACACCAAUUGCGAAGGCAGCUCGCUGGGACGUUACUGACGCUGAGACGCGAAAGCGUGGGGAGCAAACAGG